UUUCUUUCUCGGAUUCGUCCUCCGCCGCGCCCAAAUUCAUGUUUUCCUCUUUCCCAAUAUUCACAAUUCAAAAUCUUUCUUAUCCUAAACUGUACAAAAAAAAAAUUACAAAAAAAAAAAAAAAAAAAUAAAAAAAAAAAAAAAAAAAUAAAAAAAAAAAAAAAAAAAUAAAAAAAAAAAAAAAAAAAUAAAAAAAAAAAAAAAAAAAUAAAAAAAAAAAAAAAAAAAUAAAAAAAAAAAAAAAAAAAUAAAAAAAAAAAAAAAAAAAUAAAAAAAAAAAAAAAAAAAUAAAAAAAAAAAAAAAAAAAUAAAAAAAAAAAAAAAAAAAUAAAAAAAAAAAAAAAAAAAUAAAAAAAAAAAAAAAAAAAUAAAAAAAAAAAAAAAAAAAUAAAAAAAAAAAAAAAAAAAUAAAAAAAAAAAAAAAAAAAUAAAAAAAAAAAAAAAAAAAUAAAAAAAAAAAAAAAAAAAUAAAAAAAAAAAAAAAAAAAUAAAAAAAAAAAAAAAAAAAUAAAAAAAAAAAAAAAAAAAUAAAAAAAAAAAAAAAAAAAUAAAAAAAAAAAAAAAAAAAUAAAAAAAAAAAAAAAAAAAUAAAAAAAAAAAAAAAAAAAUAAAAAAAAAAAAAAAAAAAUAAAAAAAAAAAAAAAAAAAUAAAAAAAAAAAAAAAAAAACAAACUAUACAAGAACAAGAACGUUAAAGAUAUGAUACAAAGCUACACAAUUUAUAAUUUUUGAGAUGAAACAAAAACAGAAGUUUAUAUUUGAUCAAAUUGAUUGCGAAUUUGCUGUUUUUUUCCUCCUGUGGAACCAGGUUUUAGAUCGUAGUCGAAAUAAAAUGAAUGGAUCUAACAUUGAUGAUGUUGUUUCUUGACUGUCC
rnacentral:lncRNA from 1 species